rnacentral:rRNA from 1 species
GAUGAACGCUGGCGGCGUGCCUAAUACAUGCAAGUCGAGCGAACGGACGAGAAGCUUGCUUCUCUGAUGUUAGCGGCGGACGGGUGAGUAACACGUGGAUAACCUACCUAUAAGACUGGGAUAACUUCGGGAAACCGGAGCUAAUACCGUAUAAUAUUUUGAACCGCAUGGUUCAAAAGUGAAAGACGGUCUUGCUGUCACUUAUAGAUGGAUCCGCGCUGCAUUAGCUAGUUGGUAAGGUAACGGCUUACCAAGGCAACGAUGCAUAGCCGACCUGAGAGGGUGAUCGGCCACACUGGAACUGAGACACGGUCCAGACUCCUACGGGAGGCAGCAGUAGGGAAUCUUCCGCAAUGGGCGAAAGCAUGACGGAGCAACGCCGCGUGAGUGAUGAAGGUCUUCGGAUCGUAAAACUCUGUUAUUAGGGAAGAACAUAUGUGUAAGUAACUGUGCACAUCUUGACGGUACCUAAUCAGAAAGCAACGGCUAACUACGUG